UACAGAGGGUGCGAGCGUUAAUCGGAAUUACUGGGCGUAAAGCGCGCGUAGGCGGCUUUGCAAGUCGGGUGUGAAAUCCCCAGGCUUAACCUGGGAACUGCAUUCGAGACUGCAUUGCUAGAGUAUGGGGAGAGGGAAGUGGAAUUUCCGGUGUAGCGGUGAAAUGCGUAGAUAUCGGAAGGAACAUCAGUGGCGAAAGCGACUUCCUGGACCAAUACUGA
rnacentral:rRNA from 1 species